rnacentral:lncRNA from 1 species
AUUCAAGCUUUUCAGAGAUGUUGACUGGAUAUAGACUGUGGUGCAUUUGCAGGCUGCUUCUAAUUUGUAUCGAGGCUUGCGAAGGCGUUGUCUUGAUUUUGAAAUGGUGGGAAUGCAUAGAAAGAACUUCACCUAUGAACAGAUGCAAGCCAAAGAGAACAAUGCUUAUGAAGAUGAGCAACUGGUUCCUUUCAAUUCUAGCAGUGAUUCCUCAAGGUGCAUUGUACCUGGAAUGGGGUUGCACUUAAACUCUCUCGCAAGAAGUUUGAAUACCAGAGGCAGUACGAAUGAGACUUUGUCUUCUGGAAUAAGUCUUGACCCUUUCAACUCUCCAAUAAUUGGACAAGAACUCCUUGAAUCAUUGAAUAUAGGGACCUCUGACGGGAACUUGGAUCCCUCCGAAAACAAUGUCAAACUUGCAGAGGAUAUCUCACCAGCAUCUGCUUAUUUGGUUAACGAAGAGUUUGGCUUGGGUAGCCCCAAAAAGAAAAGGUGUGCCCCAUGGUAGUGCAUUUGUUUCAAUUUUAUGAUCUUGAAACUUAGAUAAAAAACAUCUUACUUUGUGACUUGUUCUAGGCUGAAGUUGGAAGGAGAAGCCGAGUCCUGCAAGCGUUGUAACUGCAAGAAAUCAAAGUGUUUGAAACUGUAAGUAGCCGACUAAAAUGCAAUCGUACUUGUAUACUUCUCUUCCAUUGUCAUGGCUUUUACUGAGUGUCUUAUGUAUUCUGUUGCAGCUACUGUGAAUGUUUUGCUGCUGGGGUAUACUGCAUCGAACCAUGUUCUUGUCAAGAUUGCUUCAAUAAGCCCAUUCACGAGGAUACAGUGCUAUCAACUCGUAAGCAUAUUGAGUUAGCAACCAACCGAUUCUCCCGCCUUCCCGCUUCUACUUGAAUCUCACCAUCCACCACCCAUUCCUUAAAAAGACUCAUCCUCUUCUUCUCCCCACCCGCCAGACAUCAAUCCAUGUUUUUUUAUUUACCCAAAUAAAAAAGAAGAAGAAUUAGAAGUCGAAUGUAGUUGCAGCGGAACAACCACUGUUGCAACUCUUUGCCAUGGACACUCCCCAGAAGCCCAAGGCUACUCCUCCUGCUCUCUCUAAGUUCGAGGUCAUUCUUUUCUUCUCUAUUUUUCUUCUUUUGCUGCCUUCUUACUCAACUCCGGUGAAUCUGGGCUUGUUUCUUUCCGGAUUGGGUAGAGUUGACCAAUUUAAGGGCGUUUCUGGAGAGUAGAUUUCCUAGAUGUGUAGAUCUCUAUGUUACAGAGUUUAAUCAGUCCUUUUCCAGUUUCUGACUACUCUUUCUUUCCUAAUAAUUCUUUUUGGGUGUGCUUUUGCAUUUAAGCUGUUUGUUCUAUUGCAUUUUCAUCCGGUUUGGAGUUAAGAAAUGGAUGGUUUUAGGAAUUUCAAGGUUUGCUGCGGGGCUUACCAAUUCAGUGCUUUCAGUUUCAUUCCCCACACCCCCCGGAGACCAGGUUCUUCAAAAGGUAACAAACGUACCCUCGCUGUUUUUUUUGCAACUUGGCUUUUCCUUUCCCCAUUUGGUUGGUUUAUACUUCAUGCAAAUUCAUUUUGUUUGGUUUGUUCCUUCUUCCCAGGCACAGCAACUGCCCAGAUCCAUCAAGACCUGAACAUUCUUCUGAGAAGAAACAGGAUGGUGGCAAAGAGAUUGCUGUAGAGCCCCAAGAAAAUUUCAACCAAGUGGUGUUUAUUGGAGAUGCCUCGGUUGAUCUUCCUAAGUCAUCCAAGUAUGACUGUGGUAGCCCUGAAGCCCAGCAGAACCCUCAACAACACGGUGCUUCGACAGAUUGCAUGUCUGAAGCUGUUGCGGCAUCAGAACCAGUUGAUCAAUUUACAGGAGAAGCCUCUCAUAAGUGUCAGCCUCAAGGUCUAGGGAACUACCAUACUCAACAAACUAAAGAUGGUGCAGAAUGUAGUUGGGACAGUUUGAUAGAUGCUGCUGAUCUAUUGCUAUUCAACUCCCCUACUAUCACCGAAGCUUUUAAAGCUGCGCAUAAACAUACAAUCGACCGUGCUUCAGGGAUUGCUACUUCCUUGAUUGAGGCAAACGAUCCAACUGAUUCACUUAACCAGACAGAAAUGGGAGGGCCUUCUACUCAACCCAGUGAUACUCUUCUGCCCAAGGAAGCAGAUAGUGAUAGCUGCAUGCCUAGCAAUAGUGACAAAGUACAUAAUGAGGUGAACAUUGAUCCUCUGCCCGUUUUUAGAUGAUAUGUUGUUAUGUUCAUUCCAUAUUCAAGCUUUUCAGAGAUGUUGACUGGAUAUAGACUGUGGUGCAUUUGCAGGCUGCUUCUAAUUUGUAUCGAGGCUUGCGAAGGCGUUGUCUUGAUUUUGAAAUGGUGGGAAUGCAUAGAAAGAACUUCACCUAUGAACAGAUGCAAGCCAAAGAGAACAAUGCUUAUGAAGAUGAGCAACUGGUUCCUUUCAAUUCUAGCAGUGAUUCCUCAAGGUGCAUUGUACCUGGAAUGGGGUUGCACUUAAACUCUCUCGCAAGAAGUUUGAAUACCAGAGGCAGUACGAAUGAGACUUUGUCUUCUGGAAUAAGUCUUGACCCUUUCAACUCUCCAAUAAUUGGACAAGAACUCCUUGAAUCAUUGAAUAUAGGGACCUCUGACGGGAACUUGGAUCCCUCCGAAAACAAUGUCAAACUUGCAGAGGAUAUCUCACCAGCAUCUGCUUAUUUGGUUAACGAAGAGUUUGGCUUGGGUAGCCCCAAAAAGAAAAGGUGUGCCCCAUGGUAGUGCAUUUGUUUCA